UUUGAGGAUUUUGAAGAACGGUUUGCUGCGGCCACCCCGGCUGUGACCCAAUUAGAACUUUUUGGGGACAUGUCCACCCCUCCUGAUAUAACCUCUCCCCCCACUCCUGCAACUCCAGGUGAUGCCUUUAUCCCGUCUUCAUCUCAGACACUUCCGGCGAGUGCAGACAUGUUUAGUUCUGUACCUUUCGGCACUGCUGCUGUACCC